UACGUAGGUGGCAAGCGUUGUCCGGAAUUAUUGGGCGUAAAGGGCUCGUAGGCGGUUCGUCACGUCGGGAGUGAAAACUCGGAGCUUAACUCCGAGCCUGCUUCCGAUACGGGCAGACUAGAGGUAGGCAGGGGAGAGCGGAACUCCUGGUGUAGCGGUGGAAUGCGCAGAUAUCAGGAAGAACACCAGUGGCGAAAGCGGGUCUCUGGGCCGAAAUUGACGCUGAGGAGCGAAAGCGUGGGGAGCAAACAGG
rnacentral:rRNA from 1 species